GGAAUCCGGUGCAAUUCCGGAGCUGGCGCGCAACGGUGACGAGUGAGAGCUCGAAGUCCGAAUGC
rnacentral:ncRNA from 2 species